GAUACAUAGCUCAGUUGGUAAGAGCAUCCGGCUCAUAACCGGACGGUCGCAGGUUCGAGUCCUGCUAUAUCC
rnacentral:tRNA from 1 species